UCUGGUGGUCAUAGCGGGGGAUAAUACACCCGAUCCCAUCCCGAACUCGGCCGUGAAAGCCCCCAGCGCCAAUGGUACUGCGUCUUAAGACGUGGGAGAGUAGGUCGCCGCCAGGU
rnacentral:rRNA from 1 species